GCUUCGGUGGCCUAGUGGUUAGAGCGUCUGUCUCGGAUGCGGUAGGCUGAGGUUCGAUACCCAACCGAGUCA